UCAUAUGCAUCAGCUUUUGGGUGGUCCAUCAGAACGUGAAGGACUGAAACCAGUGAUCAAGCGGGAACCUGGGUUCUACUGUCAACCCCUUAGUGCUGCUGAAAGAUUGAGCAAACAGCAUCCGCCUUGAUAAAAAGAGCUGUGUGACAGGUUGAAAAGAAGGCUUUGGAGUACUCUGAAAAGCAGCUUUCUCUGGGAUGGAUGACUUGACCUGUGAGUGGAUAUGUGGUGUUGCUAUGUCAGGUUCAGAGGACUUGAGGAAGGAAGAAUCUCACAGCCCAUCAACACAGCAAGGGAAACAACAGAGCAGUGGGUUGUACUUGAACUUGGACUGUCAGAUGGCAAGGGUUAGCUCUCCUUCAGUUUCUUCCUAUACAGCCAUAACACUACACAAAUGUGUCUCAGGGAAAGCAGCUGCCUUUACUGAACUCUCUGUUUCCCUCUUAAGCAGGAAAUCUCUUAAACCAUUAAACUGUGAAAUAAACUGCAUUGCUUCUGCUGCCCAAGGCACUUUCCUUGACCUUGGCUAGAAGGGCAAAUUGUCCUAUCUUUAAAGGAGCCAUAACAUGGGUCUUAUGCUCACCAUCCAUAGUAUGGCUCCUCCAUGGGCUUCCUUGGCAUCCAGAGAAAUGCCAGACCCACUCCUCUUCCUGUGCCUGACUCCCACAGCUUCUCCUCUGCCACCUUAGGAGGUUGCCAAGCAACCUCCCGUUAGAGGAGUGAGCAAGAGCUGUCAAAUUUAUUAUUAUUUGUCUUAAAGUAGCAAUGUCUCCUACAUAACUGAAAAAAUAUAAGAGAUAAGUAAUUUUUGGUUGAAUAUCACAAUUAGGACUCAUCUUCUUGCCUCUCCCCACUUCCUCACUUGGUGUCCUGCAUGGUUUCAGAGGACCCAGGAAAAGGUUGCACCUGAAUACAUGGAAUGAAAUCAAGUUUGAAACCCACUCUGUUUUUCUGAUUUGCAGCUGCUUUAGGAGUGAGUGGACCAGCAGGGUCUCCCACACAGCUGAAUUUAGAAUCUGAAACGCUGCAGGAAAUUGAAGCCACAGGGGCAGGUUUUAUUUUCCAAAGGCAGUGAAAUUAUAUGUAUUUAAAAACAAAACAAGAUGUAAAUACAGCUACAAUAUAUUUCUCAUAGUGGUUGGCAUGUCUAAUGUAUGCUAACUGGGAUUCUUCUGACUGACUUUAAAGGGUGACAGAAAUAACUGUAGAGCAGGGGAGAGCUGGCAGUGACACCUGAAGUCACUUAGCAUGGUGUAGUCUGUGCUCCACACACGCUACACCCAUGCACAGGUUCACAAGGAAUCCAUACAAGAUGACACAAGUUGUAUGUGCAGGUCCAGUUUGGAUAGUGGGUCACAUCUGGGGACAAGCAACCACCACGUCCCCUUCACCCAAACUCCUGCUCUGACCCCUGACAGACUCGUGGGCUUUAUCUGGCCCUAGAGACAUGAAGGUUUUAUAGAAGUUUUGUAAAGAGACAUCAUGGUAAGAUUAAUAAUACAUAGAAUGUAACUGGGUCAUCAAUCAGGACUUGAUAAAAAUGCCUGAAUAAUGAACAAACAUGUUCACUAGCACGUUUGUGGACCAACAUUUCAGGUGUCAAUUGCUGCUACCUCACGUGAGCACAGUGUUUGCUUACUGGUUCUGUUCAAACAUAAUGGGUAGUAAUGGAAAUGCAGGCUUGUGAUUCAUAGGCUUCAUGAAUUUGCACCAAGUUUGAGUUCUCUGUUCAUUACUUGUCCUUUUUUGGCUUCUUUGGAAAAAAACAAAAGGAACUCAGGAAAAGAAGUCAUGGAAAAGAAGCAAAGGUUUUGGGGCUAAAACUACACCAGUGAUAAUUACGGGAAACAAAUAAAUACCAAGUGAGAUCACCAUUCAUCCACAGGUAAA